AAAAAGAUAAGCUAAAUAAAGCUUUUAGGCUCAUACCCUAACCAUGAAUAUUAAAUUCUCUUUUUA
rnacentral:tRNA from 1 species